rnacentral:rRNA from 1 species
GUCUAUGGCCAUACCACCCUGAAUGUGCCUGAUCUCAUCUGAUCUUGGAAGCUCAGCAGGGUUGGACCUGGUUAGUAUCUGGACUGCAGAGUCAAAUGGAAAUGCUGGAUGUAACAAAUG